AGGAUGGCCACAGAGAAGAUUUGCAUGACCCCUGUGCAAGGAUGACACGCAAAUUCAUGAGGUGUUCCAUUUUUUU
ensembl:snRNA U6 U6 spliceosomal RNA